rnacentral:hammerhead_ribozyme from 1 species
ACUCAGCUGACCAGUCCCAAAUAGGGCGAAAUUCGUGUCAAACUGGAU